rnacentral:ncRNA from 1 species
ACGGGUUCAGCUCAACCCCCCGGAGCUGAACUUCGCGCGGCCCCCGCCCCUCCCCCCGGCGGGGGCCGCCCCAU